UACGUAGGUGGCAAGCGUUGUCCGGAUUUACUGGGCGUAAAGGGCGCGUAGGUGGUGGCUUAAGCGUGCGGUGAAAGCUCGGGGCUCAACUCCGAGUCGGCCGUGCGAACUGGGCUCACUGGAGCAUAGUAGAGGCAGGUGGAAUUCCGGGUGUAGCGGUGGAAUGCGUAGAGAUCCGGAAGAACACCGGUGGCGAAGGCGGCCUGCUGGGCUAUGGCUGACACUGAGGCGCGACAGCGUGGGGAGCAAACAGG
rnacentral:rRNA from 1 species